GUCAAUGGUUACAGGUUUUCAUGUUUUCUCUCGCAUGGUUGCCCACUGAAGCUAAGCAGGGCUGCGCCCAGUGAGUACCUGGAUGGGAGACCACAUGGGAAAGCAAGGUUGCUGCUGAAA
rnacentral:rRNA from 1 species